AGUGAACGCUGGCGGUAGGCCUAACACAUGCAAGUCGAACGGCAGCACAGGAGAGCUUGCUCUCUGGGUGGCGAGUGGCGGACGGGUGAGGAAUACAUCGGAAUCUACUCUGUCGUGGGGGAUAACGUAGGGAAACUUACGCUAAUACCGCAUACGACCUACGGGUGAAAGCAGGGGACCUUCGGGCCUUGCGCGAUUGAAUGAGCCGAUGUCGGAUUAGCUAGUUGGCGGGGUAAAGGCCCACCAAGGCGACGACCCAUAGCUGGUCUGAGAGGAUGAUCAGCCACACUGGAACUGAGACACGGUCCAGACUCCUACGGGAGGCAGCAGUGGGGAAUAUUGGACAAUGGGCGCAAGCCUGAUCCAGCCAUACCGCGUGGGUGAAGAAGGCCUUCGGGUUGUAAAGCCCUUUUGUUGGGAAAGAAAUCCAGCCGGCUAAUACCCGGUUGGGAUGACGGUACCCAAAGAAUAAGCACCGGCUAACUUCGUGCCAGCAGCCGCGGUAA
rnacentral:rRNA from 1 species